AUCGCUUCUCGGGCUUUUGGCGUAAGAUCAAGUGUAGUAUCUGUUCUUUUCAGUUUAAUAUCUGAUAUGUCCUCUAUCCAAGGACAAUGCAUCAAACGGGUUUUUGGAGCAGGGAAAUGGAAUAGGAGGUUGCUCCUUCCACUCUGUGUAUGUACCUGGCAUUGCAGUAUCUCUGGUAACAGUGCACCCCCU